GACGAACGCUGGCGGCGUGCUUAACACAUGCAAGUCGAACGCUGAAGCCCAGCUUUUGUUGGGUGGAUGAGUGGCGAACGGGUGAGUAACACGUGAGUAACCUGCCCCCUUCUUUGGGAUAACGCCCGGAAACGGGUGCUAAUACUGGAUAUUCACUGGUCUUCGCAUGGGGGUUGGUGGAAAGGGUUUUUCUGGUGGGGGAUGGGCUCGCGGCCUAUCAGCUUGUUGGUGGGGUGAUGGCCUACCAAGGCUUUGACGGGUAGCCGGCCUGAGAGGGUGACCGGUCACAUUGGGAGUGAGAUACGGCCCGGACUCCUACGGGGGGCAGCAGUGGAGAAUAUUGCGCAGUGGGCGCAAGUCUGAUGCAGCGACGCCGCGUGAGGGGUGGAGGCCUGCGGGUUGUGAACCUCUUUGGCUCAUGGUCAAGCCGCAACAAUGGUUGUAGUGAGGGUAGUGGGUAAAGAAGCGCCGGCUAACUACGUG
rnacentral:rRNA from 1 species